rnacentral:lncRNA from 1 species
GUGUAUAUAUAAAUUAAACUAAUUUUGAUUUUAUCAAAGCUGAUAGGUUGUUUAUUGAAAAUAUUUGUGUUCGAGAUAUAAAAUGCCUCCAAUGAUUGGUAUUCCGAUUGGAACUAUAUACGCACACUCUUAUUGCAGUUCAAGAAUUGUAAAUAUUUCCUCAGCAAAUAUUUACAGUUACAUGACAAUUUGUUAAAGUGAGAUCGCCAUGACCAACACAAUUUGAUAUCUUGAUUGUUUUGUUUGCCAUCAAAAGAUUGACCUUCUACUUUCCAAAAACAAAUCUCUUUUAAUCACCUAACUACGUUUCAUUAUACUCACCAUCUAUUUUUUAUUAUUUUUUUUUUAUGAUAUAACAAUGAUUACAAAACAAGUAUGGGAGUACUCACAAUUGCACACUGCAUCGGACAACUAAUCAGUUUCAAAACAAAAUUCUAGUUGCAUCUUUGUAUUUUUUGAGGACGCGCUUAUGAAAAAGCAAUAAAUUUGUAUCAGAAAUGUUGAAGCACUUGUUAGAUGUGGGCGGUACAACUUCACAACACAUUUCAUAAUAAUGUAAUAAUGAAAACGUGUUUAAAACAUUCUUGCAAGUAUCCUGCAUUUAUGACAAGAAGAAAAUUAUUAUUAUGUUAGCAUAGAGUGCAAAAUAACCAUAUGUGAUUGUCCAUAUUCCAUUUGAAGCAUUGGCAUUAACAAUGUCCUUAAUCCACUCUCCAACAAUGUCAUCUAAAAUUCUUAACGAUACGGGUCCUUUCCUCAAUAUAACGUCAUGGAAGUCUUCUAAACGGAAAUUAGGACCUGGAAGAAAAUAAAAUAGAAAGGUUCAUGGUGAAAUAUUUUGCCGAAAUGUUCGUAUGAACUCAUUGAUUCCUUUGGUGCUGGUUACUGCUCUUACCGUUUGAUUCCAUUGACCGUUAA